CCGAGGAAUCAUGGGAUACCAGCAAAGCAGCCCCGGGAUUUUGUGGUACUUGUAGUGUGGUAGUGGAAGUUUGUAGUCCAAGCAUCAGAAACAACAAAGGCAUUCGAAGAAACAAUUGGGCCUAUAAUAAUAAUAAUAAUAAUAAUAAUAAUGAGGAAGAAAUAAACACCAACUGAUAAACUAUGUAUAUUCUUGUAUAUAUUGUUAAUUUUUUUCUUUUCUAUAUUAUAUUUUAUUUUACUUUAAGUUACCUCCACUUUAUACCUGACCUAAUAUUCUAUGUCGUGUUGUUGUUGUCUAAUCCCUUGUUGUUAAAUACCAAGCUGCUAUACAACAGUUUCCCUCUGGGGAUUAAUAAUGUCACAGCUCCCUUCUCCUCUGCUUUGCCUGUCUCUCAUCCGCUCCUCUGCCCUGUCUGUCUUGCCUGUCUCCCAUCCGCUCCUCUGCCCUGUAUCUUCCCCUACAGCUCGGUGCCUGAGUGGAGUCCAGCUUCUCAGCUGACUCCACUCAGGCAAUCAACCACCUCCACGACUCCCGGACAGCUGACGAUCAUCUCACUAAUGACUCACCUCAACAAUAAGUACCGGCUCAGCCUUCCACUCCCUGCCAGAGUAUUGAACAAGAACCACACAUUCAGCUGUCCGGGAUCCCUGCCAUUCUCCUUCCCCUCCGGCUCUCCCCAGACCAGUCAUCACCGGUUUCCCCUGCCUGGACCCCCCACUCCUGCCUGGACCUCCACUCCUUCUUGGACCCCUUCUGUCCCUGCCUGGAACCCCCCGCUCCUGCACCCUGGUUUUCCCCCACCAAGCCACCAUUUCACCCCCAGCAAUAAAACACUCCAUUCCAACCAGCCUUGGUGGUGUGGCUCUCUGCUCGGGUCCAGCCCUCCUCAGAUCGUGACAAAUAAAGUCUGUCUAAGUCUAAAGGCCACCGUCCACACUGACCAAAUUAAAUCAGGGGGAAAUAUUUCCUUAAAUUCUGUUUGUUAACCCUUUAUUGACUAAAAUAAUAACAUUAAUUUCCAUUCGAUGUUAAGCACAUUUUGCUUACAUAAUUAUGAAAAUAUACUUCUACCGCCAGCAUUUUAGAGUGGGAACCAUGUGACAAAAAUGCAGUUUGAUAAUACAAAAUUUCCCCUUAAUAUUAAGACAAGCAUUUAAAAAAAAAAAUCUGCAAUGAUCACUAUCUUAAAUGUUGGAAAAUUUGAAUAGCCUAGAUUGUUUUGGUUUUUCAAAAUUGCAGGUUUUCAGUGCUAUUUUUUUUACAUGAGACAUAUACAAUCACUGUCUGUUUUUUUAAUUAUUCAUUUCAAAUGCUCUGAAGGCUUCUCUAAAAUAAAAAGGGAAAAUUGCAGAUUUUAAAAAGGUGCGUACCAAAGUAUUAAUGCGUGUAAUUUUACUUCAACCACCAGGGGGCACCAUGCGGCAGUACUGCUGACUCCUACAUGCAGUUUGCCCACUGUUGUACUGUUAAGAAAUAAUUCCUUAAAACGCUGCAUGUGUACCUCUGCAUCUACACGUUCUUGUUUAUUAAAUUACAUUAUGGAAAAUCUUGA